UACAGAGGUCUCAAGCGUUGUUCGGAUUCAUUGGGCGUAAAGGGUGCGUAGGCGGCGCGGUAAGUCGGGUGUGAAAUCUUGGAGCUUAACUCCGAAACUGCAUUCGAUACUGCCGUGCUUGAGGACUGGAGAGGAGACUGGAAUUUACGGUGUAGCGGUGAAAUGCGUAGAUAUCGUAAGGAAGACCAGUGGCGAAGGCGGGUCUCUGGACAGUUCCUGACGCUGAGGCACAAAGGUCAGGGGAGCAAACGGG
rnacentral:rRNA from 1 species